rnacentral:rRNA from 1 species
UACGUAGGGGGCAAGCGUUGUCCGGAUUUAUUGGGCGUAAAGAGCGUGUAGGCGGCUUUGCAAGUCCGUUGUGAAAACUCGAGGCUCAACCUCGAGACGCCGGUGGAAACUGCAAAGCUAGAGUCCGGAAGAGGAGAGUGGAAUUCCUGGUGUAGCGGUGAAAUGCGCAGAUAUCAGGAAGAACACCCGUGGCGAAGGCGGCUCUCUGGGACGGUACUGACGCUGAGACGCGAAAGCCAGGGGAGCGAAUGGG